rnacentral:rRNA from 1 species
GCAAGUCGAACGGUAACAGGAAACAGCUUGCUGUUUCGCUGACGAGUGGCGGACGGGUGAGUAAUGUCUGGGAAACUGCCUGAUGGAGGGGGAUAACUACUGGAAACGGUAGCUAAUACCGCAUAACGUCGCAAGACCAAAGAGGGGGACCUUCGGGCCUCUUGCCAUCGGAUGUGCCCAGAUGGGAUUAGCUAGUAGGUGGGGUAACGGCUCACCUAGGCGACGAUCCCUAGCUGGUCUGAGAGGAUGACCAGCCACACUGGAACUGAGACACGGUCCAGACUCCUACGGGAGGCAGCAGUGGGGAAUAUUGCACAAUGGGCGCAAGCCUGAUGCAGCCAUGCCGCGUGUAUGAAGAAGGCCUUCGGGUUGUAAAGUACUUUCAGCGGGGAGGAAGGGAGUAAAGUUAAUACCUUUGCUCAUUGACGUUACCCGCAGAAGAAGCACCGGCUAACUCCGUGCCAGCAGCCGCGGUAAUACGGAGGGUGCAAGCGUUAAUCGGAAUUACUGGGCGUAAAGCGCACGCAGGCGGUUUGUUAAGUCAGAUGUGAAAUCCCCGGGCUCAACCUGGGAACUGCAUCUGAUACUGGCAAGCUUGAGUCUCGUAGAGGGGGGUAGAAUUCCAGGUGUAGCGGUGAAAUGCGUAGAGAUCUGGAGGAAUACCGGUGGCGAAGGCGGCCCCCUGGACGAAGACUGACGCUCAGGUGCGAAAGCGUGG